UUCCAGACUCCUACGGGAGGCAGCAGUGGGGAAUAUUGCACAAUGGGGGAAACCCUGAUGCAGCGACGCCGCGUGAGUGAAGAAGUCUUUCGGUAUGUAAAGCUCUCUCAGCAGGGAAGAAAAUGACGGUACCUGACUAAGAAGCCCCGGCUAACUACGUGCCAGCAGCCGCGGUAAUACGUAGGGGGCAAGCGUUAUCCGGAUUUACUGGGUGUAAAGGGAGCGUAGACGGUAGAGCAAGUCUGAAGUGAAAGCCCGCGGCUCAACUGCGGGACUGCUUUGGAAACUGUUCAACUGGAGUGCUGGAGAGGUAAGCGGAAUUCCUAGUGUAGCGGUGAAAUGCGUAGAUAUUAGGAGGAACACCAGUGGCGAAGGCGGCUUACUGGACAGUAACUGACGCUGAGGUUCGAAAGCGUGGGGAGCAAACAGGAUUAGAUACCCCAGUAAAC
rnacentral:rRNA from 1 species